UUUGAAAAUUACGAGCUCUGUUGCUGCUGCUGCUGUGCUGUGCUGUGUGUAGCCGUUUCGAAGUUAUUCCCUAUGCAUUUUGGCCCCCUUCAUCUCUUUUCUUCCUCGUAUUUCGUGCACCUAGGGAAAACCCCACUUCUUAAACCCUCACAAAAAUCUUCAAAACAAAGAAAUAGUCUUCACUGUUUGAAAACUCAGUGUCUUUAAUGGUAGUACAAGACAAAUAAAGAAGAAAGAACAAAGCUUUUACCUUUUUUUUUCUUUUCAAGAAGAGAGAGAGAGUGUGUGUUAAAAUCAGUUUGACUGAUUAGGGUUUGUUUGGACCAACCUUCAAGUUCUUGACUAUGGCUGUGAUGUUACUACAUUUUUCUGGCAGGUGGUUUUUAACUCAAGAAAGGUUAGAUAGAGAAGUAGGAGUAGAGCUUGCUUCAGAAGUGUCGACGUGUUCAACUGUUAAACCAGGUUGAAUCUCUUCUGUUCCUUGUGUUUUUCCUGGAACAUGUGAACUUUUACAAGUACAUUGUUCCUCCUUAAGUACGGAAUGAAGCCAUCGGUCCGCGAAGCAUAUCAAGCUUUGUAUCAUAUUUUGACAAAUACUAGCAAUUAUUCAUAGUGGAUGAAGUAAUAUUUUUUCUUGCAUAUAUAAGCUACUCAGGUUUAUAUUUUCUGAGUUUUGACCAAUCUGUUACCAUUCAAUGAAAAUCUAAUGCUCUCAAUUUAGCUUGGA